AUUGAACGCUGGCGGCAUGCCUUACACAUGCAAGUCGAACGGCAGCGGACCUUCGGGUGCCGGCGAGUGGCGAACGGGUGAGUAAUAUAUCGGAACGUACCUUUCAGUGGGGGAUAACGUAGCGAAAGUUACGCUAAUACCGCAUAUUCUGUGAGCAGGAAAGCAGGGGAUCGCAAGACCUUGCGCUGAUUGAGCGGCCGAUAUCAGAUUAGCUAGUUGGUGAGGUAAAGGCUCACCAAGGCGACGAUCUGUAGCGGGUCUGAGAGGAUGAUCCGCCACACUGGAACUGAGACACGGUCCAGACUCCUACAGGAGGCAGCAGUGGGGAAUUUUGGACAAUGGGCGCAAGCCUGAUCCAGCCAUGCCGCGUGAGUGAAGAAGGCCUCGGUG
rnacentral:rRNA from 1 species